rnacentral:lncRNA from 1 species
GCUUUGUAUUAUUCGUAAGGUCCGUUUGACUCUUGUUCCUACAUCUUUAGGGUGCUAGGAGACUAGUGGGCAUCUUCGUCGGAGCUUACGAAGAGUUGCAAGAGUUGUGGUGGGUUUGACUUCAUGAAAACGGGGCAAAAUGGCCCCUAUGCAUUUUGUACUUGUCGUAAUCUCAAUUUGACAUCAAAUCCAUGCUAAAUAGAAUUUAUGUGAAUUUUAGAACACUUAAAAUGCAUGCCUUAUGCAUCAUAAAAUUUUCACUCUAUGUAGUAGUAGGGUAUUCUGGGUUUUUAGCAUGCAUGUGAGAAGUGGUUCUUUUUGCGAGUUGGGUACUUGUCUCGUACGAUGAAAAUGAUUAGAAUUAUGCAUUCAUGAACAUAAUUGUCAUGCUUGGACAUAGAGACCAAAAGUGUCAUAAAGGGGCACUUAGACUAGCAAACUAUGAAACUGUUAUCUGAGACUUAGUGAUAGGCCAUUGACAUCUUUUAUAUUCCAUGUUCGAGACAUGAUGACAUAGAGAUAGGCCUAUGAGAGAUGUGACGUAUUCCAUGUUGUUAGACAUGAGGACUUGGUACUUGAGACAGAUCUUUUGGUUACUUGCCAUUGUGCU